CUUUCACACUUAGAAAAAAAUUUGCGCCCGACCCCAAAACUGAAACAGAAAACCCUAGCGAGACUCCUUCAUUCUAAACUCACCCCAAAUUGGAUCUCCUCCCAAACUCAACCUCCAUUCUGGACCUUAAGCUUACUCGAACUCGAUCGCCGCCAUUCUAGAGCUCCUCAUUGCUUCCUUCUUAUACGUCCUCGGCUUCUUUGGCAUCGACUCCGUCCAGUCCGUCAUCUUACACGCCUCCCACUACGACGGUGACGACGUCCUCAUCAACUCCCGCUGCUGCCCUCCCCCUGCCAAACCCAAAUUCGAUUUCUUCUGCUUGAGGGAUUCGAGUUGAUUUUGCUUCCUCCAAAACCCUUUUCAACUCUUCACAGUUCGCCCUCCAAAGCGUUUUGUCUGAGCUCGUUGAAGGACAAGGUUUAUAGGAUCUUCUGCAGGGAAAAGCGAAAGCUCACCGGUAGAAAGGAGAAACUGUAUUGGAACUAUGUCUCUGUCUCUGAACACCACCAUCAUCCUCAUCCCUGUCUCUGAACACUUGCCUCCAUACAAACACCACCCCCCCCUCCAUUUCUUGGCCACCGUGCUCCAAUUCCAAUCCCCCCAGUUUUUGUUUUGUUGUUGUUAUUAUUAUUAUUAUUAUCACAAUAUUAAGCUCCACAUUAGGACAGCCAUGACAGGCAAGGAAAUCCUCCACAAGAUGAAGGAAAAAGUUUUAGGUCCAUCGGACCCUGACUCUGGCAAAGGUAAGAGCAAGAUGUCACAUAAUAUAUCACAUGGUUACCACUUGGUAAAGGGAAAAUCCCAUCAUGCUAUGGAAGACUGUUGUUGCACAGUUUAAGCAAAUUGAAGACCAUGAGCUAGGACUAUUUGCAAUCUUUGAUGGGCAUUUGAGUCAUGAAAUUCCUUUAAAGAAUGGAAACUCAAUUGAUUAUUAUUGAAGCAACAGUGCAUGUGAGCAUUCAUAGAACCCCAAAAAAAAAUAAGAAUCGUAAGUUGCAGGCACUAUGCUAUAUAAUAUUGGGUUGUAAACUUAUGAAGGGGACAGGAGGUCAGGAUACAGCUUGCAGAGAAAUGCCCAGUGACCAACACCUUUUUAUAUUUUUCUGCAUUGGGGGCUAAAUAUUAUAACUAUACUAUGAAUUCUUACAACCCAAAAUGCUGGGAAAAUUGGGGGAACUAUACAUAUUGGAUUUCUUUCACCUAAAGAGAUGAUUACAGUCGUAUGCUCCAAUCUUAUUGUCUGCAAUUCAACAGUAUGCACUACACAGAAUGACGUGAUCACCUUCUCCUUGUUAGGCUGCCGGUCACGUACGAGCA